CUAAUGUUGUAAACUUUACCCCUUUCUAACCUUUCAAUAAUUGUGCUUGUGGCGGACACCCCGAUGGGAAGAGGGGUCUCGCCGCCAAAGAUGUUCUUAUCCCCCCAGUGUGAGUAGAGCUGCUAUAAUCCUAGAAGCAAUAAUUCCAAAAAGCAGUGAUAAAGCUAUUCCCUACAAGCAUGAGACAAGGCUGUGUUGAGGGUAAAACUGGAACUGUUUAAUGGAAGCCACAGCUGGCCUUCUAUGCAAGUCCCCAUGCAAGGGGUUUCUGAUUACCUAUUCCAGGGGCAUUC